GCGCCGGUAACUCAGUCGGUAGAGUACUGCCCUUACAAGGCAGGUGUCGCGUGUUCGAGCCACGCCCGGCGCA
rnacentral:tRNA from 1 species